GACGAACGCUGGCGGCGUGCUUAACACAUGCAAGUCGAACGGAAAGGCCCUGCUUUUGUGGGGUGCUCGAGUGGCGAACGGGUGAGUAACACGUGAGUAACCUGCCCUUGACUUUGGGAUAACUUCAGGAAACUGGGGCUAACACCGGAUAGGAGCUCCUGCUGCAUGGUGGGGGUUGGAAAGUUUCGGCGGUUGGGGAUGGACUCGCGGCUUAUCAGCUUGUUGGUGGGGUAGUGGCUUACCAAGGCUUUGACGGGUAGCCGGCCUGAGAGGGUGACCGGCCACAUUGGGACUGAGAUACGGCCCAGACUCCUACGGGAGGCAGCAGCGGGGAAUAUUGCACAAUGGGCGGAAGCCUGAUGCAGCAACGCCGCGUGCGGGAUGACGGCCUUCGGGUUGUAAACCGCUUUUGCCUGUGACGAAGCGUGAGUGACGGUAAUGGGUAAAGAAGCACCGGCUAACUACGUGCCAGCAGCCGCGGUGAUACGUAGGGUGCGAGCGUUGUCCGGAUUUAUUGGGCGUAAAGGGCUCGUAGGUGGUUGAUCGCGUCGGAAGUGUAAUCUUGGGGCUUAACCCUGAGCGUGCUUUCGAUACGGGUUGACUUGAGGAAGGUAGGGGAGAAUGGAAUUCCUGGUGGAGCGGUGGAAUGCGCAGAUAUCAGGAGGAACACCAGUGGCGAAGGCGGUUCUCUGGGCCUUUCCUGACGCUGAGGAGCGAAAGCGUGGGGAGCGAACAGGCUUAGAUACCCUGGUAGUCCACGCUGUAAACGGUGGGUACUAGGUGUGGGGUCCAUUCCACGGGUUCCGUGCCGUAGCUAACGCUUUAAGUACCCCGCCUGGGGAGUACGGCCGCAAGGCUAAAACUCAAAGGAAUUGACGGGGCCCCGCACAAGCGGCGGAGCAUGCGGAUUAAUUCGAUGCAACGCGUAGAACCUUACCUGGGUUUGACAUGGAUCGGGAGUGCUCAGAGAUGGGUGUGCCUCUUUUGGGGUCGGUUCACAGGUGGUGCAUGGCUGUCGUCAGCUCGUGUCGUGAGAUGUUGGGUUAAGUCCCGCAACGAGCGCAACCCUUGUUCACUGUUGCCAGCACGUUAUGGUGGGGACUCAGUGGAGACCGCCGGGGUCAACUCGGAGGAAGGUGGGGAUGACGUCAAGUCAUCAUGCCCCUUAUGUCCAGGGCUUCACGCAUGCUACAAUGGCUGGUACAGAGAGUGGCGAGCCUGUGAGGGUGAGCGAAUCUCGGAAAGCCGGUCUCAGUUCGGAUUGGGGUCUGCAACUCGACCUCAUGAAGUCGGAGUCGCUAGUAAUCGCAGAUCAGCAACGCUGCGGUGAAUACGUUCCCGGG
rnacentral:rRNA from 1 species